rnacentral:lncRNA from 1 species
AACUGUAACUUUGGUUUGAGUUUUAAGCUCUGUUACCAGAAAAGGAUAUGGAAGCUUCCAAAGGCUCCGUCUCAUGGUCAAGGUCAUAAAAAAUGACAUCAAAAUUCUAACAUUACAAAGCAAGUAGUUUGUACUAAGUCUAAACCUGAGCUUUUAUGCAGCUAAUAUAUUUUAAUUUGAAAAUUUGGACUCUGAGAAUGAAUUUUUACCAUUCAGUGAAUAUUCCAUGAAGUAAUCAUUAUUAACCAAUUUUAAGUUAUAUUAGUAUAGAUUCAGAGGAAUCAUGUCUAAUUGAACCACGAAAUUGGUGAAUAUAUAUCAUUUCAAUAAGAGUUCUUCUUAUAAUUGUACUUAUAUGUUAAAAACAUAUGACUUUUUUUUUUUCUCUUCAUACUUUUUAAGAUUAAAUAUUUCCCUACUGGUACAUAAAGUCAACCUACCCAAGUAGUCACAAAUUUCAUGUAUUUGUUUACCCCAACAUAUUUAAUUUUUACACAUAACUGGUCUCUAUUUUUCUGAGAAUAAAAUACUUCAACAUCUACAGAACUUGUAGUCAUUUGAUAGGUAGAUCUAAAGCCACAUAAAAUGCCACAGUAGAGCUAAAAAUUCAGGUAAAAUUUUGUCUAGUAAGAACCUAGACAUAAUGAGACAUAAUCUAAUAAGAAUGUGCAAUUGCAUCUAGUAAGUUUUUUCCUACAUCCUUAUAGGGGUUCCAUAGUAUCAGUAUUUUCUAAAUCACUUUAAAUUAUUUUUAGCUUAUAUUUCAUGACCUACCAAAUGUCUUUUCCAGUAAGAAUCAAUCCCUCUACUGAAAAUGUUGUUUGAUAGAACUGCAUUAGAAAAUAGUAGAUGAGACCACAAAUGUUUGAAAAGGUCUACUAAUUGUCUUACAGCCAUUCAUCUAUUCAGCAUUUAUUAGACACCUACCAGGGCCAUUCCCUGAAACUACAAAAGUAAAAUAUAUAUUCUCUGUCCUCAAGGAAUUUAUACAGAAUCUAGAGAGGGAACUUGGCUCAACAGAGUACAGGACCCAGGGAAAGUGUUGAUAAUUAAUGCUUCUCCCAGUGACUAAAAAAGAUUAAUAAAUACAGGUUUAAGUAGAAAAGUAAAAAAUGAGAACGUUCCUAUAAAGACAAUAGAGUGCUGAAUGAAUUAAGAUAGCCUAAGGAUAAGGCAGAAAUUGGAGUUAUGCUAAUCAAUAAACCAAGAAAAAUCUAGAAGCUGGAAGAGGCAAGGUAGGAUUUUCCCCUGGAUUUCAGAGGAAGCAUGGCCCUACUGUCAUCUUGAUUUUGGAUUGCUGGCCUUCAGAAUCAUGAGAGAAUACUUUUCUGUUUCCAGCUACCAAGUUUGUGGUGAUUUUUUACAAUAGCCCUAGGAAAAUAAUACAGGCAGGGUAUCUGUAUAUGAAUUUCCUGGUCUGGGGACAAAUAGCAAAAACAAAUACACAAACAAAACCAAGCUUCCAAGUUGGGAAAUAACUGUCUCAUCUGUAAUAACAAUUCAACCCACCACACUAUCCUUAGGGCCUCUAUAUUGGCCUGAGUCAGAGCCCCAUCUGUCACUGUCUUGCUGUGUCACUUGGACACAGUCCUCUGAGCUACAAUUUCACUGUCUGUGGAGUAAGUGAGAUGGAGAGAGAAAACAUGAAGGGUUGAAAAGGCAGUAGUACCAAAAUUUGAACAAGAGCCUCAAGAACCACCCACUCCAGUACUUGGGGAUUGCUGGUAAAAAUCUAUACUCAAAAACAUCAAAUGGAGGAUCUUGCAUUAUUGCAGAGACUACGGUGAGUUACAAAGCUUUAUUCUCAUAGGUUUCCUCCUAGGACCUGCUUCCAUCUCCAGACCCUACCCCUCCAUUUUGAUGCUGAACCUCUAGGCCAAAUGGAAUGGGCACCAUCUGCUAUCAAUACAGCCACCACUCUUCCCAGCCAAGAAGAGUCCCAGGCCAAGUUUAUCUUGAGAGCUAACAGGAGGUGACAAGCCUGGCAGGACACAAAUUCUUCCUGCAUGAUUGAUUCAGCCUGGCUGACCAGUUUCAUGCUAAUGAGGAUGUGCCAGAGCUCACAACAAACACAUUU